AUUGAACGCUGGCGGCAGGCCUAACACAUGCAAGUCGAACGAGUGGCGGACGGGUGAGUAAUGUCUGGGAAACUGCCCGAUGGAGGGGGAUAACUACUGGAAACGGUAGCUAAUACCGCAUACCAUCGGAUGUGCCCAGAUGGGAUUAGCUAGUGGGUGGGGUAAAGGCUCACCUAGGCGACGAUCCCUAGCUGGUCUGAGAGGAUGACCAGCCACACUGGAACUGAGGCACGGUCCAGACUCCUACGUGAGGCAGCAGUGGGGAAUAUUGCACAAUGGGCGCAAGCCUGAUGCAGCCAUACCGCGUGUAUGAAGAAGGCCUUCGGGUUGUAAAGUACUUUCGGCGGGGAGGCGGUACCCGCAGAAGAAGCACCGGCUAACUCCGUGCCAGCAGCCGCGGUAAUUC
rnacentral:rRNA from 1 species